UAAUUUAUUCUUGUUUAAAGAGACAAGUAACACUGUAUAAUAAUAUAUUCGCCGUAGGCUUUGUGCUUGUGCACUCUGACACGGGCUCUGACAGCAUAUAAUGAUACUGUAAUCGGAAAUUCGGAUUGUUUUCCGGUUUCAACAUUUGUAACUCGCUCAGUGCACUGCAGGAGUGCAUAGAGCGGUGGCACCCGGAGAUGACAUGGCUAUACUUUUCCAGCCCUUUGUGAUAUUUCGUACAUCGACAUUCGACAUCAGGAAUUGUUAAAUCAACAUGGAUAUUAAUCACCCCCUUGGAUUAAUUAUUGUGGGCUUACUGAUGAGUGUAAAUGUCUUAGGCCAGCCCCCGGGAAGCAAGCCGGGGGAAAAUAUAUGCAUGUAUCCUGUUGUGAUGGUUCGUAAUGGCUGGUGCUGGAACUACUUCUACUACCGGUAUUACCCAUGCAGCUACAGAGUCUAUGAUGUAAUAGAGAAUUGCUGUAGUGGAUGGACAAGAAGAAGUAAUUGCACAAAAGGUAAGAUAUCAUUCAUUAUCACCAUCAUUUUCAUUGUAUUUUCACAAUUUAGAAAAUAAAAAACUUCUGA